GUGUGACCCUUUCCAGCACAUUACUAAAAUGGCGACUGUAACUAAAAAAAGGGAAGUUGGCAGCGAGGGUUGGCGUUUUCAUGACAAGUGGAAAUUGGAGUAUUUUUUCAGGUAAAUACGAAACAACUGUGUCUGCCUAAUUUGCCAAUAGACUGUGGCUGUUUUCGGGAUUUUGCAGCUAUUGAAAAGGAGAUCACGCUUUUUUCCUCUUCUUUCUCCGUGGACUCUGAUGACGCUCCAGAACACCUGCAGCUGCAGCUGGAGCUCAUUGAGCUGCAGUGUGACGCCGAGUGUCACAGUCGGCACCAACAGCUCCCUCUUGUCAACUUUUACGACCAGCUGGAUAAAGGCAGGUUCCAAGAGAUUCGAACCUUUUGCUAAGAAAAUGCUGAGCUUAUUUGGCUCAACAUACUUGUGCGAGAAGACAUCCUCGGUUAUGAACACUAACAAGAACCGCGUGAGGACGAGACUAAGUGACUCUCACCUGCGUGACAUCUUGCGCAUCAAAACCACAGUUUUUGAGCCAGACCUGGCCAUCUCAGUAUCACCCUUCACAUUAGUGCAGGGAAGUUAUUUGUUUAGUCUUCUGAGGUCAACUGGGGAAGUUCAUCGAUGAAUUUGACACGCUACUGUCCACCAUCCCAGAUGAUGGAACUCCUCUUCUGGUCCUUGGUGAUUUCAACAUUCAUCUAGACAAGCCACAUGCAGGUGACUUUCUUGCUCUCCUUCCCGCAUUCGACCUCAAGCAGUUCAUCACACCAGCAAUCCACAAAGCCGAACAACCUCCUGGACACCAAGCAGUCUGGCUUCAAGAGCAACCACUCCAUGGAGACUGCUCUGCUUUCCGUCAAUGAAGCCUUACGACUAGCAAGAGCAACCUCUAGAUCAUCUGUCCUCAUCCUACUUGAUCUUUCUGCUGCUUUCGACACUGUGAACCACCAGAUCCUCCUGUCAACUCUCUCCAGCCUGGGCAUCACUGGACCGGUUCUGCGCUGGGUGGAAUCCCACUCUUUGACAGAUCCUUCAAGGUAUCAUGGAGGGGAGGUAUUUCUGAAACUCAGCAACUCACAACUGGCGUUCCACAGGGGUCAGUUCUGGGUCCACUCCUCUUUUCUAUCUACACCACAUCUCAAGGGCAGGUGAUUGAGUCUCAUGGCUUCUCAUAUCAUUGCUAUGCUGAUGACACCCAGCUGAUGCACGCAUCUCUGCUUGCCUUUCGGACAUCUCGGUCUGGAUGAAGGAAAACCAUCUUAAACUUAACCUGGCAAAAUCUGAGCUUCUCGUCAUCCCAGCCUGUCCCUCAAUCAACCACAACCUCACUGUACAGCUCGGCUCACUCACACUCAUGCCAACCAGGACGGCCAGGAACCUUGGGGUGAUUCUUGAUGACGGAUUGACCUUUUACAGACCAUAUCUUAGCAACUGCAAGGUCCUGUAGGUUCAUCCUUUACAACAUCAAGAAAAUCCGACCCUACAUCACCAAACAGGCUACACAGAUUCUAGUCCAGGCUCUUGUUAUCUCUAAACUGGACUACUGCAACUCACUGCUUUCAGGCCUCCCAGCCAGGUCCAUCAAACCCCUUGAGAUGAUUCAGAAUGCUGCAGCACGCCUCGUCUUCAACCAGUCCAAGAGAACCUAUGUCACACCCCUCUUCAUCUCCCUCCACUGGCUUCCUGUAGCUGCCCGCAUCAAGUUCAAGGCCUUGAUGCUCACCUACAAGACCUUGUCAGGAACAGCACCCCCCCACCUCAACUCUCACCUGAAGGCCUACGUUCCCUCUCGCAAUCUGCGAUCGAUUAGCGACCGACGUUUAGCAGUUCCAACUCAGCGUGGCGCAAGGUCCCUUUCCAAAACCUUCACACUAACUGUUCCUCAGUGGUGGAAUGCACUUCCAAUCUCAAUCCGGACCGCAGAAUCUCUCACCAUCUUCAAAAAACAACUAAAGACCCACCUCUUCUAUGAACACCUAACAAACUCUUUAAAAAAAAAAAAAUAAAAAAUAAAAAAUGCAUUUACACCUCUACUCUGCACUUUGCUUCUUCUGGAAUUCAAUUAAUAGAUCUUGUAUGGUAGCACUUCUUGUAUUGUUCUCUGCUUGAUAUCGCUUUGCUUGUAUCCUUCUCAUUUGUAAGUCGCUUUGGAUAAAAGCGUCUGCUAAGUGAAUAAAUGUAAAUGUAAUGUACCUGCUGAGAAAUCCAUGGUGUCUGGAAGUUUUGAAGUGUAGAGUCUGGAACUUCUUUCGAUGCUUUUCUGAUUUUCCAAACUGAGUGUCUGACUUUUUUAUAGACAAGGGCAUAUAUGUUUAUGUAAGGCUCAAAGUGCUGACCAUAUGUGUACAUGUCUCAACAUAAUAUGAUUACCUGAUCUAAGUGCAGUCCUUAUGUAUAGAACAAUGUAUGGAUCUAAGUGCAUAUGUGUACAUAUCUCUACAUAAUAUGAUUACUUGAUCUAAGUGCAGUCCACACGUAUAGAAUAAUGUAUGGAUCUAAGUGCUGUUCAUAUGUGUACAUAUCUCUACAUAAUAUGAUUACUUGAUCUAAGUGCAGUUAUCUUUGGUGUACAUAUCUCAACAUAAUAUGAUUACUUGAUAUAACUGCAAAAUGUAUGUAACAUUAUCUUUGAAAUACAACUCUAACAUAAUUAGGAUUGAAGAUGACCAUUAAUGACAGCUGUUAAGAACAUCAGUUGGUGAUGACCAUUAACAGCAGCUAAUUAGAAAAUGACGGUUGGUGAUGGCCAUUAACGACAGCUAAUUAGAUAAGGUUGCUAAUGACAUUUGACCGGUCAACAUAAUUAGAUUUGAUGAUGACCUAGUGGGUUACAUAAUAAAACAAACUAUUCUCUCUCUCUUGCACUUAUACACAUUUUUAAUUUCCAAUUUUUACAUAUUUUUUGUUAUGAUAUAUGCAUUGCUAUUAUUAGUUUUGAUUGCUUAGUUUUGAUAUAAUUAUUUUUGAUGUAGUUGUAUUAUUUUUUACAUGUUAAUUUAGUCAUCUUUAUAAUAUUUAGAAAAUUUAACAUUGUUUAGGUGGAGGCUUUAAAUAAACCCUCAUGGGUUUUCUGCCUCUCCCUGCACUGUUUAUUUGUAUUUUAGCUAUUUCUUUGUAACAAUAAAAGAAGAAAAAACAUGUUAACAACAUAAA